AGAAGGGAUGACACAGUAGGAUAAGCUAAGCACACUGUUGGUUAUGUGUGCCCAAGCAUUGAGGCAGUCAAAGUAGGCAAAUCCGCUUUGAUAAUGCUGGGAUGGGAUGGGGAGCGAAAUUUAGUAGCGAAGUAGCUGAUUUCACACUGUCAAGAAAAGUCUCUAUCGAGGUUAAAGGUACCCGUACCGCAAACCGACACAGGUGGGUGAGGAGAGUAUCCUAAGGCCAGCG
rnacentral:rRNA from 1 species